rnacentral:rRNA from 1 species
UACGGAAGGCAGCAGUGGGGAAUAUUGCACAAUGGGCGAAAGCCUGAUGCAGCUAUGCCGCGUGUAUGAAGAAGGCCUUAGGGUUGUAAAGUACUUUCAUCGGGGAGGAAAAACAAAACUAAUAAUUUUAUUUCUUGACGUUACCCGAAAAAGAAGCACCGGCUAACUCCGUGCCAGCAGCCGCGGUAAUACGGAGGGUGCUAGCGUUAAUCAGAAUUACUGGGCGUAAAGAGCACGUAGGUGGUUUUUUUAAGUCAGAUGUGAAUCCCUGGGCUUAACCUAGGAACUGCAUUUUGAAACUGAAAUACUAGAGUAUCGUAGAGGGAGGUAGAAUUCUAGGUGUAGCGGUGAAAUGCGUAGAUAUCUGGAGGAAUACCUGUGGCGAAAGCGGCCUCCUAAACGAAUACUGACACUGAGGUGCGAAAGCGUGGGGAGCAAACAGGGAUUAGACUACC